ensembl:ncRNA B0350.80 ncRNA
UAGCCAUCUUCAAGAAAGUGAAAAGAACGAUUGGCACGAAAAGAUUUAGUGCCAAUGAGUCAAAGUCAACCUAGACAACAGCCAGAAAAAAGAACGAGGGGUUUCUGGGGUUUUGACGAGAUAAUUACGUGACAGC